rnacentral:tRNA from 1 species
GUCACUGUGGUGGAAUAGGUAUACACAAGGAACUUAAAAUCCUCGGAAAAAUCCAUGCGAGUUCGAGUCUCGUCAGUGACACCA